ACUCCUGCGGGAGGCAGCAGUGGGGAAUUUUGGACAAUGGGCGAAAGCCUGAUCCAGCAAUGCCGCGUGCGUGAAGAAGGCCUUCGGGUUGUAAAGCUCUUUUGUCAGGGAAGAAACGGUGAGAGCUAAUAUCUCUUGCUAAUGACGGUACCUGAAGAAUAAGCACCGGCUAACUACGUGCCAGCAGCCGCGGUAAUACGUAGGGUGCAAGCGUUAAUCGGAAUUACUGGGCGUAAAGCGUGCGCAGGCGGUUUUGUAAGUCUGAUGUGAAAUCCCCGGGCUCAACCUGGGAAUUGCAUUGGAGACUGCAAGGCUAGAAUCUGGCAGAGGGGGGUAGAAUUCCACGUGUAGCAGUGAAAUGCGUAGAUAUGUGGAGGAACACCGAUGGCGAAGGCAGCCCCCUGGGUCAAGAUUGACGCUCAUGCACGAAAGCGUGGGGAGCAAACAGGAUUAGAUACCCGUGUAGUCCCA
rnacentral:rRNA from 1 species